rnacentral:rRNA from 1 species
UGGGGAAUAUUGGACAAUGGGGGCAACCCUGAUCCAGCCAUGCCGCGUGAGUGAAGAAGGCCUUAGGGUUGUAAAGCUCUUUCAGUCGUGACGAUGAUGACGGUAGCGACAGAAGAAGCCCCGGCUAACUCCGUGCCAGCAGCCGCGGUAAUACGGAGGGGGCAAGCGUUGUUCGGAUUUACUGGGCGUAAAGGGCGCGUAGGCGGGGUAUCAAGUUAGGGGUGAAAGCCCGGGGCUCAACCUCGGAACUGCCUUCGAGACUGGGCAGCUCGAGACCGGAAGAGGAGGGUGGAAUACCCAGUGUAGAGGUGAAAUUCGUAGAUAUUGGGUGGAACACCAGUGGCGAAAGCGGCUCUCUGGUCCGGAUCUGACGCUGAGGCGCGAAAGCGUGGGGAGCAAACAGGAUUAGAUACCCCCGUAGUCC